CACUGGCAGAGUUAAGUCCAGAAGUGCCACACCUUAGAAAGUUGGUAGCAUUGCUUUAUAAACUUAGUUAACCAAUGAAAAUCAGACAACAGAGCCUUUAAUAAAGAAGACAUCAAUCAUUCCUUAGCUUCAACGACUUGAUUUCCAUUUGUAAAUUUGUGGUGAUUGAGUGAGCUUCAAUCGUCUUUUUCUUUGCAACUGCUAACUGAUGACUAAAAGAAAUGAUGAUUAAGAAUAAAAAGAUCAUUAAGCAAUACUUGGUUGUUAAGCAAGUCAAUGAAUUCUUAGGGGCAUUUUGUUUUUGUUUUUUGCCAGAAACCACCCAAAAAGUCUGGUUACUAAAAAAAAAUACGUCAAUUGCCUAUAAAGAGAAUCAUUUGACAGUGGGGUGGUGCUAUGGUAACUCUGAAUGCAAAGCAACUGUUUGUUAAGCGAGAAAUAUGUCAGCCUAAAGCGAAGCCACCAGAACUAACAGUGAUGAACGCAUGCAAGCAAGGUGGAGAAAAGCCAGCAAAAAGAACCAAGGCAAGAAGGAAAGAAAAGAACAAAAGUUUGGCCUGAGCACAUAGCAAGCCCCUCCCCACGUCUAGCAACCAAGGAGUUGGGUGUGCAUGGGAAGUCCCUCCCACGAACACUCUGGGGGAUCAACAGGGAUGCUGAAGUCUGCCCAGCCUUUGGUGUUGCUUUGGGAUCCCAGACUUGGUGGCUUCUGUCCCUCAGGCUAGUGCCUGGCAGCCUAGUUGUGGACAUUGGGAAUUGAAAGCCAACAGAGAUGAGGAAAAAUAAAGUAAUAUGGAUAAUAUUUGAACCUGAAACAUGAGUUUAUCUCCCUGAAAUAUUACCAGUGCACAACAUUUUAAACAGGACAUUCAUGGAAUUACAAAAUGGAGAGAUCUGCUCCAGGGGAGAAAAAAAAAUAUCCAGUUUGAAAAUAUACAAAGACAGAAGAACAGGAGAAAAGGCAGGGGUUGGAGUUACUGAAAGAAGACUUUGAUA